GCCAAUGUGGUGCAGUGGUUUGAGUGUUGGACUAUGACUCUGGAGAUCAGGGUUCGAUUCCCAACUUGAGCA